GACCCAGUGGCGCAAUGAAUAACCCGUUGGACUUCUAAUUCAAAGAUCGUGGGUUCGAUUCCCACCUGGGAUGGCCU